UGUUGUUGUUAGAAGAACAUCUUCCAUUGUUAGCCUCUGGCUCCAGUGACUGCCAUCCAAAGAAUGCAGAGGAAGAAACAAUUUGGAGAGCAAGAGAUGCCGUUUGCUAGGGGCACAGAACACGACAGCCAGUUGGAAGUCAUUAAAUUAUAAGUGCCUAACAUCCUGUAACCCUGUAAAGAAGCUUGAGAUAGGUUCCAUGAGGGCAAGAGACCACUGGAAAGAGACACCCAACCAAGAAGGCACCAGAUGCCCAGUGUGUGUGUAGGGUUUUGGAUGGACCAUCUGGCCUGCCUUACUAGAGGCACCAGAUAACUGCAGCUAAGUAUAUGACUCAGGUGAGACUAACAGAAGUACCACCAACUUAACCCAACCCAACUGCCAAUUCACAGAAUCAUGAACAAAUAAAGAGCUGUCACUUUAA